GAUGAAGAACGUAGUGAAAUGCGAUAAGUAAUGUGAAUUGCUGAAUUCAGUGAAUCAUCGAAUCUUUGAACGCACAUUGCGCCCGCCAGUAUUCUGGCGGGCAUGCCUGUUCGAGCGUCAUUACAACCCUCAGGCCCCCGGGCCUGGCGUUGGGGAUCGGCGGAAGCCCCCUGUGGGCACACGCCGUCCCUCAAAUACAGUGGCGGUCCCGCCGCAGCUUCCAUUGCGUAGUAGCUAACACCUCGCAACUGGAGAGCGGCGCGGCCAUGCCGUAAAACACCCAACUUCUGAAUGUUGACCUCGAAUCAGGUAGGAAUACCCGCUGAACUUAAGCAUAUCAAUAAGCGGAGGA
rnacentral:misc_RNA from 1 species